AUAUUUUCUUUUUUUUUCUUUUUUUUUUUGAGAGAGAUAGGUAGCACGCUACCCGCUUCGUUUAUUUUAUUUAUAAAUAAACUUAGCUGGAAAUGUGAAUCAACUAGGAUUCGAAAUUGGGUCUCGGGUACCAACCACCAAGUCCUUUAUCACUUGCCCUAGGGACGGUCGGUAAUAUUUUCUUUUUGUGCACUCAAAAUUUGAUCAUUUUUGCAGGGCUACGGCAUGUUAGCUAUCUCAUCCACACUCCCAUUUCUCCGCCCUCCGAAAUGCAUGGACUCCGCAAAUUCUUCGACAUGCCAACCUUCGCCUUUUCAAGUGGCCUUCUUCUACGUAUCUCUCUAUCUCGUAGCCUUUGCUCAAGGCGGCAACAAGUCUUGCGGACUAGCAUUCGGAGCCGACCAAUUCGACCAGAAUGAGCCAAAGGAGUGCGCCUCGCGAGGCUCCUUCUUUAACUGGUGGUACUUUGUCACGUCCACGGGCAUGACCUUUGCGUAUAUCAUACUAAGUUACGUUCAGGAUAACGUUGGUUGGGGCCUUGGCUUUGGAAUCCCCGCUAUUAUUAUGUCCUUCGCUCUUGUUGUCUUCUUGCUCGGGACGAAGACGUAUAGAAUUUAUGUAGUGGAACAAGAGAGCCCCUUUGCCCGAAUAGGCAAGGCGUUCGUGUCGUUGGCGAGGAGUUGGAAAGCAAGCCUUCUUCGACCGAGAGAAGACAAAGAAAGACAACAAGACGAGUAUGUUCAUUCUACACUUCUUACCUUGAGAUGACUUAAAAUGCACCAUUAGUUGCCAAACAUGUAGCAAAAUUUUACCUAGAUCAUCAAAUUUGGAGUUGAGCUCGAAUACUCCUAGAAGCAUAUGUGAUUCACUUGUUUCUAAUUUUUUGGCUCUUAGAUUCAUGCUACUAUGACAGCUAAUAGUAAACCCAAGACAUUCAAGGAAUAUAAAGUUUGUAAGCAAGUGAAUAGUAAAUAUUGCUUCUAAAAGCAUUCCAGCACAAUUCUCAAAUUUGAUUCCUCGUGAUCGCUGUGUGCCACAAUUAGGUCGAGCUAUCAAGUGACGGCGUUAAAUUUCCUUAUGAAGAGAUGAUGCAAAAGCUGAAUCACCUACAACAUUAUCUCUCUAUAAGAAAAAUCUGAUGGCACUUGACGACUCUGAGUGGACUGUAUAGCGACCUAUGAGAAAUUUUACGGUGAGUUUAAUAAGGAUUGUUGAAACUUACCAUUUAUUUUCAACAAACUUUGCUAACCGAUAUAAUUAUGAAGAUAUUCGACAACAGGAGAUGAAUGUGAACAAAGUCACAUGGAAGAAGCCAAGCGAGUGCUCCGAUUGUUCCCGAUAUGGGCGACAAGCUUAGUAUACGCCGUCACUUUUGCUCAAUUGGCCACCUUCUUCACUAAGCAAGGAAGGACUUUAGAUAGAAGCAUCACUUCAAGCAUACAAGUUCCACCCGCGGCUCUACAAAGCUUCAGAAGUCUCACUAUCAUGGCCUUCGUCCCCGUAUACGAUCGAUUCCUCGUGCCCUUAGCUCGGAAAUUCUCGAAGCUGCAUUCGGGCAUCACCACGCUUAAAAGAGCCGGCAUCGGAAUGGCCAUAUCCUUUAUCUCAAUGGUAGUAGCAGCUCUUGUGGAAAUGAAGAGGCUUCAGAUGGCUCGAGAUUUCGGCUUGAUCGAUGAGCCAAAUGACACUAUUCCGAUGAGCUUUUGGUGGUUGGUUCCUCAAUACAUGCUCAUUGGGCUCGCCGAUGUGUUUAUAGUAGUAGGAUUGCAAGAGUUCUUCUACGAUCAGGUCCCCGACGGUUUAAGAAGCCUCGGCAUUGCUCUCUACAUGAGCAUACUAGGGAUCGGUAGUUUUAUCAGUAGUGUUCUCAUUUUCGUGAUCGAUGAAAUGACAAGCAAGAAUGGUGAUAGUUGGUUCUCGAAUAACUUAAACCGAGCGCAUCUCGAUUNUGGUGAUAGUUGGUUCUCGAAUAACUUAAACCGAGCGCAUCUCGAUUACUUCUAUUUGCUUCUCGCGGGUCUCGGUGUUUUAGAAUUAUGCUUAUUCUUGUACUUUACGCGCAAUUAUGACUAUAAGAAGAAGAUUGUUUUCUGAUAGCAUGAGUACUUAGGAGAAAUAUAAUCUUAAGUACAUAUUUCCACAACAUUGUAAAAGUUCUUCGAUGAUUAUCGGAUGCUUUAAAUUCUUGUAUAAUUUCAAAUUCAAAGUAAGGUAUUCAAUUCAUUUUAUCUCCUCUUGUUCAUAUUUUUAUUUUUAUGUUUUAAAUCCUUGAUGCAUGUAUCAUAAGUAGUCUUUUUUUGUAAUAAAUUCACACAUUCACAAAUAGUGCUAGAGAAGAGAAAAUUAAUUAUGCUAAUAUCAUGUUAAAUUAUAUAAACUAAUUGUUGCUCCCAAAAAAUUUAAGGCGUAGAUGGAUUAUACUAGAGGAAACAUGUGAAGAGACCAAAAGAGAGAAUCUCUGUUUUUCUUCUUUUUUUUCUUCUUGGGUAAACUUCAAAUACCGCCUCUUUGGUUUCACACUUUUUCACUUUAGUACCCUGUAGUUUAAAGUGUAUAAAGUUAGUGUUCUAUAGCUUCAUUUUUAUCUUUUCGUCAGCUUCUCCGUUAACAUUUCGUUAAAUUAUAUACAAAAAACUUCAGAUACUUUACCUAGGUUUAUCGAAUAUUCACUCUGGUAUCAUUUCUUUUAACUUUGUCACUAAUUUAACGAAAAAAAUUAGUAUAAUCGAUAAUAAAAUGAUAAAAAUAAAACCACAUGAUACUAAAUUGAUACAUUUUAAACCAAAAGGUCUUAAAGUGAAAAAGUGUGAAACCACAGAGGUGGUAUUUGAAGUUUUUCCUUUCUUUUUUUUGUCUCUAUUAAAGUAGCAUGGUGCUUCAAAAGGCAUAACAAUAGAUUCCUUAUUUGCUCUGUUUCUGUUUUUAGCUACAGUUAUCAGUAAUAGAGUGUUUGACAUCAGAAGAUUCGAAGCUUCUGCUGUAAUGGGUGAAGUCGGAAAACGAAAACAACAAUUUGGAGCUUCUGAUUCUGCAGCAAACAAAGACUAUCGAAGCAAUCGAGGGAUUUUGAUCCUGCAGGUUCGAAUUGCAGUAAUUGGAAGAUGCAAAAGCUGUGAAAGCUCUUUGGAACUUUUCUGCUCCAAUGCAUUUCCUCAAACAGCAUUUCACACUACAGGACACUUUUGGGCGAAAAAAGAAGAACAAAAAAGAAGGAAUAAAUGGAUGGUAAUUAAGUGAAAUAGCUACAAAUUGCUUAAAAUAAGUAUAUUUUGGCCUACAUUGGUUAUAUAGUAAUUAAAAACACUACUUUUAUGUUAUAAAAAUUUAUUUUUUUUUGAAAAAAAAUAGCGUGUUAUCGCUUUAUUCAUUUAGAAAAUGAAUUUAACUACAAGAUGAGACAGUCUAAAUCUCGUAGGAAAUACAAAAAAAUCAAUCUAUAGUAUUACGAAAAAAAAAGUGAAUCCAUAAGUCUUUGAGAGAUCUUAUCUCUGCCAGUAAGCAUUCACGAGCAUUCUUUUGUUUCUUUCCGGCUAAAGAACCCACCAAGCAGCAGCAAUAGUCACUAACUCUCUCCCUCUUAUACUCCUCCUCUGCUACAGCUCAUCUCCUAGAUCCCUUUAGGAGAUGAAUAAUUCUGUAAAAAAGUGUUUGUUUGAUAAAAAUCUUUUCAAUAAUGCUGUAAAAAUUCAAACAAAAAUUAAAAAUGCUUAUUAUAUAUGAAUGCAAUCGUCACCGAAAAAGCAUGCAUGUACAAACACCAAAUAUGAAAAACGUGUGUGCCUAGUUUCUAAUUACUCUCGUCGACUUAGUCUUGUUCCAUGGCCAUUUAUUUUAUUUUAUUUUUACUAUUGUCCGUAAGCUCCGUACAAUAAUCUUUUGUUUAUAGGCUCCGUACAAAUCACUAUGUUCACGUAAUCAUAAGUACCUCUAAAAUUAGAGAUAUAAGUUUAUACGCUUCGAUAGUAAAAUUAAAAUUUUAAAAAUUUAAAUAGUCAAAAAAUAAUAUUUUUAAUAUUUAAAUUAAUUUUUUAUUCUGAUACCGUAUUAAAUAGACGACGAUCCUAUGUUUAGCACUUAUAAAGAGAGAGGCAAAAAAGGAAGAAGAGGAAGAAGAAGAAGAGUGAGAGUUGGGAGGAAUGGAUCCGGAUCCCCUCCUCGCCGGAUCGGAGGCGUUGAUCGGCGUCGUCGACUACCGCUGCCGCCCUGUCCGCCGCUCCUCCUCUGGCCGCUGGACCGCCGCGCUCUUCGUCAUGGGUAUGACCACCCUCCCCUCUUUCCCUCUCACUAAAAUUCUUUGUCCGUCCUGCGUAAUUGUAAUUCGACGAUCUCUGUAUCGUCGGAUUCUGAUCAUGCACACCAGGGCUCGAGUUCGCGGUGCGGUUCGCGUACUACGGCGUGUCAUCGAACCUGAUCACGUACCUGACGGGGCCGCUGGGGCAGUCGACUGCCGCCGCCGCCGCCGCCGUGAACGCGUGGUCGGGCGCCGCGUCCAUGCUGCCGCUGCUCGGCGCCUUCGUCGCCGACUCCUUCCUCGGCCGCUACCGGACCAUCGUCCUCGCCGCCCUCCUCUACACGGCGGUCCGUAACAAUUCUUUCUAAAAUUAAAAUCUAAUUCGAUAGAUAAAUAAAAUAUGGUAUAUAAUAUUUAUUAUUAUUAUAAAAAAAAUUAAUAUUUUAAAAUUUAUAAUUUAUAAUAAAAUAUAUUGAAAUUUUGUGUAUGGAGAGUUCCCCAAUCAUGUGGCCGUUGAGUUCAAUUUUUUUUUUAUUUACAUUAUUUCUUUAGUUUUUGACUUUUUUUUACAAUUAAGAAAUUUUAGUUAAAUAUUUUAAAGAUUUUGUCAUAUUUAUCUAUAAUUUUAUUAGAUUUAACAGUAAUAUGUACUUUUUUUUGUGGUAGUAAAUGCACUUUUUAGCAAAUGUAUUUACAAUAUUUAGCAACUAAUAGCUAAUUAAAUUUACUCAAGGACUAUAAUAAGUUAAAUAAAAAAUAUCAAAAGCUUAAAAAAAAAAUUGCCCGUAGUUGAGGUGAUCUCCUCAUAUUUUUAUACAUAAUCUUUGUCACAAAUAUGGACUUUUUGCUUUUUUUUUUUUAAUUUUCUAAAAAGUGUUUGUGAAGUACAAGUUAUCCCUACAAACCCAGUAAUGCUAAUUAAGAAAAGAGUACGGAUGAUAAUUAGUCAUUAUUUUAAUAUUAUUUUUUGUUGGAGUAUUGAUUGUUGAAAACAGUGUUAGAAAAGUCAAAUUUAAUCUUUAAAUUAUUUAGAUUUAUAAUUAAUACGAAAGAUUAGAAAAGUGGACAUGGUUUAUGAAAACACGAUAGAAAUGCUUUUCGUAGAGUAGUUUCGAACUUUUUGAAUGAUACAUAAACUGAGCUUUUUGCUGAUCGCUAUUUUUUACGAUACAAUCAGAAUCCAUCGCUAUCGAAAUUUACGUGCAUGUUGAAAUCUAAUAAACUUCGAACACCGUAAGCUUUUGAUCGUUUAAAAUUAGAGAGAAUUGAAGAGCUUUUAGAAAAAAAAUUCCACGGUAGAUAUUUGAUUAAAUCUUUAAUGUUCAUUUUCAACCGUUAAAAUUGAAAAUUGUCUGUUAUAUUUGUUUCCAAUGAAAUUGUGAGAGGUUGCAUCGUCACAUCCCCUCGCGACAAGAAAGUUUAGAAUGCGACAGUUAUAUUAAUAGCGUCGCAUCCUAACUAAUCAAAUAAUUUCUUUUGAAUUUAAAAAAUAUUUUUAUUGUACUUUUUUUCAAAUGAAGAGAUGUAAUUGACUUAUUAUUGAUGAUGUGGUGCAAGUGUGACACAGUAGAUUUCCUUCCUCGCGACACUGGUGGGAGAAAAAUCCACGUGGCAGAGAAAUUUUACGCUGUGGGACCCACUAUAAUUAUAAUAAUUUAAUAAAUAUAGUUUUUAAAAUUAUUAAAAUAUUAUUUAAAAAACCAACAUUGGUAAUUACUGAGAUGUCAAUUUCCAGAGGAUAAUUCAGUCGCUAAAUCCAUAAAUAAAAAAGUGGACUCAUGAUUAGCAUUUCGAAAGAUAUUGUUAAAAAAAAAAAUCACAAAACAAUUAAAGCGCUCCUUAAUACGUACGUAUAUCAACACAUGGUAUUAAAGUGAGAAAGUGCGAAACCAUAGGAUACUAACUUGAUACACUUUAAACCACAGGGUACUAAAGUGAGAAAGUGCGAAACUACAGGAAAGUUUUUGAAGUUUUUUCUUAUAAAAAUAAUAUUUCAAGGAAUCCGGAGUAUUACUUUUGUUUUUCUCCGAAUAUUUAUGACAAGUUCGGUCAAAAAUAUUGAAGAUUGUUAAAAGGCUAAAAUAUAGAAAAUAUAUACUCUUGUAAAUAUUGAUUUUUUAACUCUUUUUUUUUUGACUUUUAAAAAUCUAUAUUCUAUCACCUGAAAAUUUCCCCACCUCCCGUCCCGUCCGUCACUUUCCAUCCAUUUCUUAUAAUUUAUACUGAAAAUAUCUUUAAAAAUAAUAUAAAUAUAUUAAAAAAUUAUUAUUUUUUCUUUAUAGAGCAAAUAAGGGCAAUUUGAUUAUUUCCCCUCUCUUUUAACAGUGUAAUCCCCUAAUAAUAUUUAGAAAAUUUUAAAGUGGCAAAAUAUAAAUUUUUUAAAAGUCAGAAAAAAAAAAAAGUGAAAAAAAAAAUUUUAGCAAGUUUUCUGGAUUUCAGCAUUAUUAGAAAUACAACAAUUCAAGAGAAAAGUGGAAUCUUCUAAUAAGAUAAUUCAAUUCCAAAAUUGGAUGUUUUUUUUUAGAGAUAGGUAGUAUGCUAUCUGCUUCGUUUAUUUAAUUUAAAAAUAAAUUUAGCUGAAAAUAUGAAUCAACUGGGAUUUGAACUUGGAUUUAAGCCCUUUGCCAAUUCCAAAGCUGGAUGUGGUUGUAAAUAAAACCAAGGAUGAGACAACCUAGAGAGAUUGGACAUCUCUAUCAAAUUUGUCCAUACAAUGUGCAAAUUAAAACCUGCUUUUAUUUUCCUCCUUAAUUUGGUCCCAAAAAACUAGGAAUUUAAACCUUGUCAUGUCAAGUUAGGUUUAGUACAAUGGCAUGGGUGGUAGAUGAUGGAAGGGGAGAUAUUUAUGCCUAUGAAUUUAGACCUUUCAACCUUUAUCAAUUUUGGAUUAUUAAUUCUUUUUUUUUUAUUUCCUACACAAUUGUUUGGUUGUAAUCCACAGUUUAUGUAUUCAAGUCCAAAAAAGGGGCAUUUUUUUUCCCUUUAUAAUCAAUGAGUUAGUUUCAAAAUAAGUAUUGGUGCCCUUUUUCUUGUUUUUAAUUUUUCCUACUAAGUUGGCUUUAAUCACUUUCAAAUUUUCCAAAAACUUUGAUUGUUAAUCAUUUCUCUUGAUUUCGAACGGUUCUCACCUAUUUGAAAAGAAGAUGAUGAUGUUAAUAGGUUCAAAAUUACUAAUAACAUAUGCGUACAUUGAAUCUGAUUGUUAUUUGCCAAGUAAAAGCGAUCNGUAGAAAAGUUUCGAACUUUACUUUUCACGGUAGAUAUUUAAUUAGAGAGAAUUGAAGAGUUUUUAGAAAAAAAGAUUUCACGGUAGAUAUUUAAUUAAAUCUUUAAUGUUCAUUUUCAACCGUUAAAAUUGAAAAUUGUCCGUUAAAUUUCUGUCCAAUGAAAUUGUGCGAGGUUGCAUCAUCACAUCCACGGGCGACAAAAAAUUUUAGCGUGGUGUCCCUAACAAAUCAAAUAUUUUUUUUAAAAUUUAAAAAAUAUUUUUAUUGUACUGUUUUUAAAUAAAGAGAUAUAAUUGACUUGUUAUUGAUGAUAUGCUGCAAUUGUGACACAAUAGAUUUUCUCCCUCGUGACACACGUCGGAGAAAAAUCCACGUGGCUGUGACGUUAUACACUGUGGGGGACCCACUAUAAUUAUAAUUUAAUAAAUGUAGUUUUUAAAAUUAUUAAAAUAUUAUUUAAAAAACCAACAUUGGUAAUUACUGAGAUGUCAAUUUCCAGAAGAUAAUUCAGUCACUAAAUCCACAAAUACAAAAAUGGACUCAUGAUUAAUAUUUCGAAAGAUAUUGUUCAACAAAAUAAAAAAAGGCUUGUCUUGGCACAGAACAAUGAAAGCGCUCCUUAAUACAAAUAUCAGCACAUUAAUAAUAUAUAAAAAUAAUAUGUUUUAAAAAAUAAAGUAUUAUUCUUCUUUGUUUCUAAAUACGUAUAUCAGUACAUUAAUAAUUUAUAAAAAUAAUAUUUCAAGGAACAAGGAAUCUAGAGUAUUACUCCUGUUUUUCUCCGAAUAUUUAUGAUGAGUUCGGUCAAGAAUAUUGAAGAUUAUUAGAAGGCUAAACUACAGAAAAUACUCUUGUAAAUAUUGAUCUUUUAAUUUUUCCUUUUUUACUUUAUCUAUAUUUUACCACCUGAAAAUUUCAAAGUUGAUGUAGAAAACACUCUUGUAAAUACCGUUAAUUUUUCCUUUUUGACUUUAUCUAUAUUUUACCACCUGAAAAUAUCAAAUUGAUGCAGAAAAUACUCUUGUAAAUAUCGAUCUUUUAAUUUUUCCUUUUCGACUUUAUCGAUAUUUUACGCGCCCCCCCCCCCCUCAGGGUUUCAUCACUUUCCAUCCAUUUCUUAUAAUUUAUACUGAAAAUACUCUUAAAAAUUAACAUAAAUAUAUUAAAAUAUUAUUAUUUUUUCUUUAUAGAGCAAGUAAGGAUAAUUUGAUCAUUUCGCCCUCUCUUUUAACACCAUAACCCCCUAAUAAUAUUUAGAAAAUUUUUAGAAGGCAAAAUAUAAAAUUUUUAAAAGUCAAGAACAAAAAGUAAAAAAAUAUAUAUUUAUAGCAGGUUUUCUGGAUUUCAGCAUUAUUAGAAAUACAACAAUUUAAGAGGAAAUUGGUAUCUUCUAAGAAUAAUUCAAUUCCAAAGUUGGAUGUUGGUAUCUCAUUGUAUGUGGUUGUAAAUAGAACCAAGGAUGAGACAACUUAGGGGCCGUUUGGUUGGAUGUAGUUGCAAAAACAGUGUAGUUGGAAAUAUAUACAGUUGCAAAUGCUGCAGUUAUAACUACACCUAGUCUGUUUGGUUUUACGCAGUUGCAACUGCUGCAGUUACAUUUCUUCUGUUUGGUAAUAUGAAGCUGAUAGUUGUAUUUAUGAAUUUUGUCACCUCUUCAGAUAGAGUGGUAAGGUUACCUACACUAAACAUAAAAUAAUUAUAUAAAUUUAUUAAUUAUUUAAAUUUACUAUUUAUAAAUAAAUAAGUAGAUAUAUAUAAUAUUUUUAUAUUUUUCAAUAAUUCUUCAACUUAUUAAUCGACACAUUUAAAAUUUUUAAUUUAUUUAAUUUUAAUAUGUAAAUCAAACUUUAAAAAUUUAAACGAUUCUCUCAUUUUUUUUAUCAAAUUUAAUAAUUAUAAUUAAUUAAAACUUAUUAAAUUAACAUACACGAUCACAUUCUAUAAAAAUUUAGAAAAAAAAACUAUAUUUAUAUUUUAAAUAAAAUAAAUUUAAAAAAAUUAAUUUUUUGCACAAAGCUUGUAUUGUCUAAAAAAUUUUAUUAGUAUGAGUUUAUUUAUAAGUAUUUUUAUUUACCUAUAUACAUAUAUUAUUUAUUUAUUUAGCUAUUUAUUUAUUUAUUAUUAUUAUUAAUUUGUGGGUGAUCCUAUCCCUCACCAACUGCUGCAGUUGGAACUACGACCAAUUUGGAUGUAGUUCCAACUGCAGCAUUUGGGCCUUCUUGUGCAGUUGGGACUGCAGCAGUUGAACUCAACUAUACUAAACCAAACAAAGGAAUUGUGGCUGCACGCAUUUGCAACUGCACUGCAGUUGUAAAUGCGUACAACCAAACAGCCCCUUAGAGAGAUUGGACAUCUCUAUCAAAUUUGUCCAUAAAAUGUGCAAAUUGAAACCUGCUUUUAUUUUGCUCCUUUUUGGUCCCAAAAAAGUAGGAAUUUAAACCUUGUCAUGUCAAGUUAGGUUUAGUAUAAUGGGCAUGGGUGGUAGAUGAUGGAAGGGGAGAUAUUUAUGCCUAUGAAUUUAGACCUUUCACCCUUCAUCAAUUUUGGAUUAUUAAUUUUUUUUUUUAAUUUCCUACACAAUUGUUUGGUUGUAAUCCACAGUUUAUGUAUUCAAGUCCAAAAAAGGGGCAUUUUUUUUCCCUAUAUAAUCAAUGAGUUAGUUUCAAAAUAAGUAUUGGUGCCCUUUUUCUUGUUUUUAGUUUUUCCUACUAAGUUGACUUUAAUCACUUUCAAAUUUUCCAAAAACUUUGAUUGUUAAUCAUUUCUCUUGAUUUCGAACGGUUCUCACCUAUUUGAAAAGAAGAUGAUGAUGUUAACAGGUCCAAAAUUACUAAUGACGUAAACGUACAUUGAAUUUGAUUGUUAUUCACCGACUAAAAGCGAUCAGAUUUAUAAUAUACGAGUUUCGCAUAGUAAAUGUGAAUCUGUUAACAGCCAAAUAUGAUUUGUCUUAAUCCUCACUUAUAUAACUUCAAUUUUUAAAAAAAAUAUAUAUUUCCGAGGAAAAUCCAUUUAACAACAUGUAUAGUUCUAAUGGCACAAUUAAUAUUUCUUUUUGUGCACUCUAAAUUUGAUCAUUUUCGCAGGGCUACGGCAUGUUAGCUCUCUCAUCCACACUCCCAUUUCUCCGCCCUCCGAAAUGCAUGGACUCCGCGAAUUCUUCAACAUGCCAACCUUCGCCUUUUCAAGUGGGCUUCUUCUACGUAUCUCUCUAUCUCGUAGCCUUUGCUCAAGGCGGCGACAAGUCUUGCGGACUAGCAUUCGGAGCCGACCAAUUCGACCAGAAUGAGCCAAAGGAGUGCGCCUCGCGAGGCUCCUUCUUUAACUGGUGGUAUUUUGUCACGUCCACGGGCAUGACUGUUGCAUUUGUCAUACUAAGUUAUGUUCAGGAUAACGUCGGUUGGGGCCUCGGCUUUGGAAUACCUACUAUUAUUAUGUCCUUCGCUCUUGUUGUCUUCUUGCUCGGGACGAAGACGUAUAGAAUUUACGUAGUGGAACAAGAGAGCCCCUUUGCCCGAAUAGGCAAGGCGUUCGUAUCGUUGGCGAGGAGUUGGAAAG
rnacentral:lncRNA from 1 species